rnacentral:lncRNA from 1 species
GUGAGGCUCGGGCCAGCCUAGCUCCACGAGGACUAAACUAGGUGCUUUGAGCUCUCUUCACCCGUCUCAUCUGCACAGGACACCAACAGGAUUUACACACUCCAUACUCAAGCAAGUGGGCUUGGCGUGGAAAACUGACAGUCUUUCCACACCAAGGGCCUCAGGGCCAGGAAGGUGCUGCCUUGUUACCACCAUGCCGGAAGUAGGAAAUCUAAGAUCACUGCCUCCCGUAAACUCAUGCUGAAGAGCCUGAUGCUAGCCAAGGCCAAGGAGUGCUGGGAGCAGGAGCACGAGGAGCGAGAGGCUGAGAAGGUGCGUUACCUCUCGGAGCGCAUCCCUACGCUGCAGACCCGCGGUCUUUCCCUCAGCGCCCUUCAGGACUUAUGCCGAGAGCUCCAUGCCAAGGUGGAGGUGGUGGAUGAGGAGCGCUAUGAUAUCGAAGCCAAAUGCCUCCACAACACGAGAGAGAUCAAGGACCUGAAGCUGAAGGUGCUGGACCUCCGUGGGAAGUUCAAGCGUCCACCCCUGCGCCGGGUCCGUGUCUCAGCCGACGCCAUGCUCCGAGCCCUACUGGGUUCCAAACACAAGGUGUCCAUGGAUCUGCGGGCCAACCUCAAGUCUGUGAAGAAAGAAGACACAGAAAAG